rnacentral:ribozyme from 12 species
AGAGAAGAAAAAGAGAAGAAAAAGGGUAAAAAUAGGAAUUCAAAUAUCUGUAGGUACACAUUUAACUAUUUAUAUUUCUUUUUU